rnacentral:tRNA from 1 species
ACUCAGUUGGCAGAGUGCUUGCUUAACAAGCAAGCAGCCCUGGGUUCAGUCCCCAG